CCCCAAGGCCAGGGGGGUCCCCAAAUCAGAGAAGAUCCCCACAGUGGGGGGGGGGGGGUCCCAUGGAGGGGUCCCCAAAAUGGAGAAGGUCCCCAAAAUUGGGUGGGGUCCCCAAAGUUGGGGGGUCCCAUGGGUGGGAGGUCCCCAAAAUGGGGUCACCAAGGUGGGGAGGGUCCCCAAAAUGGGGGUCCCAUAGAGGGGGUCCCCAAAACUGGGGGAAUCCCCAAAUUGGGGUGGGAUCCCCAAAAUGGGAAUUGUCCCCAAAAUGGGAAUGGUCCCCAAAAUGGUCCCAUAAAGGGGAUCCCCAAAAUUGGGGUGGGGAUCCCCAAAUUCGGGUGGGGUCCCCAAAAUGGAGGAGGUCACCAAGGUGGGGAUGGUCCCCAAAGUUGGGGGGUCCCAUGGAGAGGGUCCCCAAAAUGGGUGGGUCCCCAAAGUGGAGAAGGUCCCCAAAAUGGGGUCACCAAGGUGGGGACAAUCCCCAAAAUGGGGGGGGGUCCCCAAAAUGCCAGAGGUCACCAAGGUGGGGAGGGUCCCCAAAAUGGGAGGGUCCCAUGAAGGGGGUCCCCAAAAUGGGAGGGGGUCCCCAAAAUUGGAGAAGGUCCCAAAAUGGGGUCACCAAGGUGGGGACAGAUCCCAAAAUGGGGGUCCCAUGGGUGAUGUCCCCAAAACGGGGGGGUCCCCAAAAUGCCAGAGGUCACCAAGGUGGGGACUGUUCCCAAAAUGGGGGUCCCCAAAAUGGGAAGGGGUCCCCAAAAUGAGGUCACCAAGGUGGGGAGGGUCCCCAAAAUGAGGGUCCCAUGAAGGGGGUCCCCAAAAUGGGGGGGUCCCCAAAAUUGGAGAAGGUCCCAAAAUGGGGUCACCAAAGUGGGGACAGUCCCCAAAAUGGGGGUCCCAUGGAGGGGGUCCCUAAAAUUGGGGGAAUCCCCAAAAUUGGGGUGGGGUCCCCAAAAUGGGGGUCCCAUGGAGGGGAUCCCCAAAAUUGGGGUGGGGAUCCUCAAAUUCGGGUGGGGUCCCCAAAAUUGGAGAAAGUCCCAAAACGAGGUCACCAAGGUGGGGAUGGUCCCCAAAAUGGGGGUCCCAAAUUGGGGUGGGGAUCCCCAAAAUUGGGGUGGGGAUCCCCAAAAUUGGGGUGGGGUCCCCAAAAUGGGGUGGUUCCCAAAAUUGGAGAAGGUCCCAAAAUGGGGUCACCAAGGUGGGGACGGUCCCCAAAAUGGGGGUCCCAAAUUGGGGUGGGGUCCCCAAAAUUGGGGUGGGGUCCCCAAAAUUGGGGGGGUCCCCAAAAUUGGAGAAUGUCCCAAAAUGGAGGUCACCAAGGUGGGGAUGGUCCCCAAAAUGGAGAUCCCAAAUUGGGGUGGGGGUCCCCAAAAUUGGGGUGGGGUCCCCAAAAUGGGGGGGGUCCCUAAAAUGGGGGGGUCCCCAAAUUGGAGAAGGUCCCAAAAUGAGGUCACCCAGGUGGGGACGGUCCCC
rnacentral:lncRNA from 1 species